GAGGAACCAGGGAGCUUGAAGAAAAUGUAUGGUUAUUUUUCUAGCUAAAACCACGUUGUUGGAAGGCAGAGGUGGGAGGAUCACCUGAGGUCAGGAGGUCAAGACCAGCCUGGCCAACACGGUGAAACCCCGUCUCUACAAAAAUAUUAGCCGGGUGUGGUGGCAGUCACCUUUAAUCCCAGCUACUUGGGGGGCUGAGUCAGGAGAAUUGCUUGAACCUGGGAGGCAGAGGUUGCAGUGAGCCGAGAUUGCGCCAUUGCCCUCCAGCCUCAGCAACAACAUGAGACUCCGUCUCAAAAAUAAAUAAAUUAAUUAAUUAAAUAAAACCAAGUUGAUGGCCUCACCAAGUUUAGUCAUAGAUACCCAAGGUCAGGGAGGGCCAUUACCCUGUGAAACUUUGGGGAUCUACGGCUGGACCACGUGGGGCCAUGAGCAGAAAAAGCCAGUAAGCCCUAAACAGGCUGGAUAUUGUAGCUGGACAUCCUGGAGCAGGAGUUGAGAGCCCAGGAGCAGUACUGGUGCCACCAGGAACAGGAGGAGGAGCAGCUACUGGAACAGCUGGGGCACCUGAGCCAGGAGCUCCACUCCACGGCAGAAAGUGGCGCUGAGCAGCAGCUGAAGGCUGAAGAGGAGGCCUGCCAGGCCCUUGAGUCCCGCUGCCUGCAGGAGAUGGAGAGAAGAGCCAGGGCUCUGAGCACACACAGCAGCCCAGAGCGGGGCCUGCUCUCUCAAGGUGGUUCAGCGUCCCUCUGAUGAGUUUCAGUGGGUGGUGAGGGAGAGACAGAACUUCCUGGCUAAGGCCCUGGGUCAGCUGCAGUACCGACGGGAGUGGAGCUGCCUCCAGCUGUUGCACACCCAGAUGAUUGCCUCAAGAACCCCUGUGUGUUUGGAGAAUUACCCUGGAGACAUAUUCUAUGGAACAGUCACCACUUCUCUCAGGGACCGGGCUGCUACCUGCCCCCUGUUGAUCCCAUUCCUGAAGCAGCUCACUGCAGCGCUAGUAGGAGCUCCAGGGCUGGAGGAUCAGAGGCCAGAAACAGAUAAAGCUGACAUCAUCUGGACUUCACCAUUCUUCUCCAUCCUGAAGAAAACAGACAUCUGGUCCCAAGCCCACAAGGAAGAAGCUGAAUUGCAAAAAUAAGUGUAUCACAAACCAGGUAACCUUUUCCCUUGUAGCUCCUGUUUGGGAUUCUCAUGGGGGGCACUGAAGGUAUGUGAUGGGGUAACCCCUGGGAUCUAGGAAUGUUAGAAUCCUGCCUUGCCAAACAUCUCUUUCUCUCUACCCCCACACUAAAGUUCCCCAAGUGAUUUUCCCAUAUAAGGAAUAACAAAUAGGAAUCAAAGUACCCUUAUAACUAUAACUGAGCAAAUUUCCAAAAGGGAAUUUCCAAAGGCCCCCUGCCUUCCCCAUCAAACAUGAAUCUAAAUCUUGGGACUUCACCCCAUACCAGCCAGCCACAUGUUAGAAGGAGCUAAUGUAAAGGUGUGAGGCAGGAAAGGGAAAAAAUGAAAAGGGAAAAAAACAGAAGAAAUGAACGAAGAGAAGACCUUGCUCCCCAAAGGGACCCCAGAUCACUUUACCAAUACCACUCCUUGGAAUUGGAAGUCAAGAGAGCACGUGGCUUUCCUAACCUGAAGAGCCAGGUCCGUUUCAACUCACACACAUCCCAAGUGGAAGAGAAGUAACAGAAAAUGCAUGUGUGCCUUUCAGUAGACCACAGUGCAGGGCUCCAGGUAAGCACAGCACCAUGAACACCCCUGAACUUGAGCAGGGAAGUGCAAACUAUGGCCCACUCCAUACCUCCAACUCCAACCUGCUACCUGUUUUUGCAUGGCCCACAAGCUAAGAAAGAUUUUACAUUUUAAAAUGAUUAGAGAAAAAAUGACAAAAGAAGAAUAAAAAUUUUAUGGAGUGCUUUAUAAUAUGCCACAUACUAUUCUAACUCUUUAGAUGUAUUAACUCAUUUACUUUUUACAACAACCCAGUAAACUAUGUACUAUUACUCAUCUUAUAGAUGAGGGAACUGAAGCUCCUGGAUAGGUCAAGAAAGUAUUCAAAGAUCAUAUUGCUAGUGAGUAGUUCAGCUGGAAUUCAAUCCCCAAGAGUCUUUCCCCAGACCCUGUGCUCCUCACGUGCUUCCUCAAAUGAAAAGUUGUUCAACACUAUGAAGGCAGUGCCAAAAGAAGAUGCAGGUAACACAUUUUGACCCAAAGAGCUCUCUGCAGGAUCUUCUAAAACCUCAGACACUGCAGAAGGAAGAGUUGAUAACUGUGCAACCCACUGACCUUUCUGCCAGGGAGUUUGUGGUUUACCAGUAUGGCCUCUCCAUCCUGCACCUCCUUAUCCCCCAGCUUCAUGCUCCAGAAAUCACCCUGAAGAUUUCUUCUCAUCUUCCUGCCAUGGAAGCCCAAGGCAGUGCCUUCCAAGGUGCCUUCUUCUACCAGUGCUGAAAACACACUGUUCAUUGGGAGAGAAUGUUUGGCCUCUGUGGGAAGCUUUGUUCUGCUGCUGAUCCGCUGCCUGGCCCACAUCACUGCUGGGGAACCCCACCAGGACUCCAGCCCUGCCUUUCUGGGGUCAUUUUACAAGGGCCUGGAGGCCUAUUUCAGGGAAGCAUUCCCUAUCACACUGAGAAUGGCAGCAGUUUCCAGGGACAGUAAACUUGACCAAAGCAUAAGUGCUAUCCUGCUGGAAGAGCAGCCCAUCUCUGACAGAGAAAGGGAUCUUCUGUCUAAACUCAUUGAAAUGAAGCAUGUAUCUCCCUUGGAGCCAGAAUCACUAGAAGAGUAUAUUCAUAAAAACAAAGAUCUUCUGCUCUUCACCAGUAUGGAACAUUUCCUAAAAAGCAUCCUCGCUGCAGAACAACAAAUCCUAAGAAAACCAAGAAAUCAAUUUGGGAGUGAAGAUAAGAUCUAGAAAGAAAAUGGUAAUCUCAUUUCAGUCUGCAUUAUUAAAAGGUCUUAAAUACAUCACUACAACAUCUGAUGAAGCUGAUAAGAAUUAUUGGAAAAUCUAUAAUAUUCAUGGUAAAACACAUAAAUGUGUAUCAUAGUUUUAAGUGUAUAUAUAAUAGGGGCUAAUAUUUGCCACAGAGGUUGAGGACCCCUGCUCACUGUGACUAAAAUUUUCAGUGUGACUAAAAGAUCAUUAGAUCACGUAUCUUAUUAAAAUAUGUAUUAAAGAUAUUGACUAAAACUUUCUGGGAAUGUAAAACUUGUAUAUGUCAUUAUUCAAUCAGGCUAAGGUUGUCUAUUACUGAAUCACAAAGUAGAUGGAUAUAUAUAUAUAAUAUUUGGUGAUCUAGAAUGUGUACUUAAAAUAUAGGCCAUGUCACACAAAAUUCACUUUGGAGGCCCUGGUUGAAACACCACAAAGAGAUAAGCAGUCAUCUGAAAGUGAAGUUUUGGAGUGCUGAUCAGGAGAUACAACACCAUCACAUGAAUUUAGGUUAAAAAAAAUCCAGAUACAAACUUCAACUCAAAAGCUGCUCAGAUUACAAAGCCAAUGCUUGAAAUUCAAACUGCUUCUCACAUGGAUAAUUCUGUAUCAUGCCCUGUAUUUAUCUGUUCUCAUGCUGCUAAUAAAGACAUGCUUCAGACUGGGUAAUUUAUAAA
rnacentral:lncRNA from 1 species